AGAGUUCGCUUUCCUCCGCAAGUCCCACCUUUAUAAAAGUUACCCUACUCUACAAUUUAAGGCAUCGCAAACUUUGCAUUUUAUAGAAAGGAGAAAGUGGGUGUUAUCUUAUUUAUUAUUAGCUUCAAUGCAUGAAUAACUUUUAAUGGUAGCGGUUGAGAGUUGCAAGCACAUCUGUGAAACAUAAACUGUAAUCAAGAUAAAAUCGUUGCAAGUUCCACAAUUA